rnacentral:rRNA from 1 species
CCUACGGGGAGCAGCAGUGGGGAAUAUUGCACAAUGGGGGAAACCCUGAUGCAGCGACGCCGCGUGAGUGAAGAAGUAUUUCGGUACGUAAAGCUCUAUCAGCAGGGAAGAAAAUGACGGUACCUGACUAAGAAGCCCCGGCUAACUACGUGCCAGCAGCCGCGGUAAUACGUAGGGGGCAAGCGUUAUCCGGAUUUACUGGGUGUAAAGGGAGCGUAGACGGCAGCGCAAGUCUGGAGUGAAAUCCCAGGGCUUAACCAUGGAACUGCUUUGGAAACUGUGCAGCUGGAGUGCAGGAGAGGUAAGCGGAAUUCCUAGUGUAGCGGUGAAAUGUGUAGAUAUUAGGAGGAACACCAGUGGCGAAGGCGGCUUACUGGACUGUAACUGACGUUGAGGCUCGAAAGCGUGGGGAGCAAACAGGAUUAGAUACCCCGGUAGUC